rnacentral:rRNA from 1 species
AGUGAACGCUGGCGGUAGGCCUAACACAUGCAAGUCGAGCGGAAGCACAGUGAGCGUGUGCUCUUACGGGUGGCGGGUGGCGGACGGGUGAGGCGUAGAUCGGAAACUACUAUUUCGGGGAGGAUAACGUAGGGCCACUUACGCUACUACCGAAUACGUUCAACGGCAGGGAGCAGGAGAGCAAGACGCCUUUGGCGUUAGUUAGAGACGAAGCCGCGUCGGAUUAGCUAGUUGGUAAGGUAACGGCUCGCCAAGGCGACGAUGCGUAGCUGAGCUGAGAGGGUGAUCAGCCACACUGGAACUGAGACACGGUCCAGACUCCUACGGGAGGCAGCAGUAGGGAAUCUUGCACAAUGGGCGCAAGCCUGACCGAGCCACACCGCGUGGGUGAAGAAGGUCUUCGGAUUGUAAAGCCCUUUUGUUAGGAAAGAACAGCUGUAUGUUAAUCCCCCGCUGUUUUGACGGUACCCAAAGAAUAAGCACCGGCUAACUUCGUG